UUAGAUUGUCGUUCCAGAUAGUUAUACACAGUAUACCCCUUUGCCAAUCAGUGACCUUGAUUCUUGGUUGAAGACACCCUCCAUAUAUGUUUUUGAUUGCUCUGCGGCUGGGGGAAUAUUGUGAAUGCUUUUAUUGAGCUUCAUGAUUGGGUUGCUUCUAGCUCCUCUGGAUCCACAAGGGAUUGCAUUCUACUUGGAGCUUGUGAAGCACAUGAGACUCUUCCACAAAGUGCUGAAUUUCCUGCAGAUGUGUUUACGUCUUGUCUCACAACACCUAUUAAGAUGGCUUUGAUAUGGUGAGCUUCUUUUCUUGUUC